CAGGUUGGCCGGACGGUCGCUCCCCUGUUUCGGCAGGGGGGAGGAAAGUCCGCUCUCCACAGGGCAGGGUGCUGGCUAACGGCCAGGCGGGGUAACCCGACGGAAUAGUGCAGCAGAGAGGUAGAUUGCCCCCAUGUGGGGCGAGGGUGAAACGGCGGUGUAAGAGACCACCGGCGCGGGCAGCGAUGUUCGCGGCCAGGCAAACCCCACCCGGAGCAAGGCCAAGCAGGCGCAUUGGGGCGGCCCGUCCCGCAAAAAGCGCCGGGUAGGCUGCUAGAGCUUCAGGGCAACCUGAAGUCGAGAGAGAUGGCCGUCCACGACAGAAAGCGGCUUAUAUGGCCGGCCUGGAUA
rnacentral:RNase_P_RNA from 1 species